UACGUAGGGGGCUAGCGUUGUCCGGAAUCAUUGGGCGUAAAGAGCGUGUAGGCGGCUCGGUAAGUCCGCUGUGAAAGUCCAGGGCUCAACCCUGGAAUGCCAGUGGAAACUGUUGAGCUAGAGUCCGGAAGAGGCGAGUGGAAUUCCUGGUGUAGCGGUGAAAUGCGCAGAUAUCAGGAGGAACACCCAUGGCGAAGGCAGUAGACUGGGCAUCUCCUGACGCUGAGGCGCGAAAGCGUGGGUAGCAAACAGG
rnacentral:rRNA from 1 species